CGAUGGCAGCAGAAGUGGUCCGACUACCUCUACACCAUCAAGCAGAAGAACGGUGAGUCGAUCCAUGCCCAUGUCAAUAGUUUCAACGUGGCAACCUUAGAAGUCUAUGAUCUGGACCAAUCGACCGCAUUGGCCGGAUGAUGGAUGGCCUACUGAAGAACAACUUGAAAAAGUCAUUGACUAAAACUUAUUUUCAAGACUUUUCGGACAUGCUUGCCCGUGUGGAGAAAUAUGCCCACACGGAGGAGGCUUAUGCAGAGAAAACCCCUAUCAGUUUUAUUGCGGUAAGGCAUAAUAAGGAGCGCUCUUCAAGAC
rnacentral:lncRNA from 1 species